rnacentral:lncRNA from 10 species
UCCACAUCCCCCUGCCUUUUCCGAGAAAAGGACAGUUAGUGCCUGGACCAGGACCAUCACACUGGGGACCGGCUUCUCUGCUCUCCCGUUAUGGGGGUCGGGGGAAUGAUGGGUCAAGGGUCUUCCGAAGAAAGCGAGAAAGGAACAGGCGCCUUCAAAAGCCCACUUGGCGAUGGGUUACAGUAAGAGGAAGUCUGCAUUAUCACGAGGAGCUUGGAAAGGAGGUAACACACUCAAGGCAAAUUUCAAGUAACUCAUCCUGGAGGCAGCUGCCUACUCUGCAGCUGUGGUUCUCCACCACAGAGAGAAGAAAAGGGAGGGAGAUGGAGUGCGCAGGUCUGAGAAGGCUUUCAUUCUGGAGCAUCUGCAGGAGCCUGCACCAUGGCCCAGUAGCACCCCUUUUUCUCCAUGAGCUGCUGGUGGGUUCCCCCCUCCCGGAUAGCGCCUCCUUCCAGAAAGAGGAUGUGGUCAGCCUGCUCCACCAGGCUGAGGUGCUGGGUGAUGAGAAGCACUGAGCGGGAGUACCGCUCAGGGCUUUCGUACAGGAGCUGCUCCACCUGAGGAAAGACAUCGGACCGUCAGAGCCGGGGACUACCCUCAGCCCAGGGAGACACCUGUGUUUCCAGGGCUGGGACUGACCUCACAGGAUCACUGCUGGCUCUGCUAACAACCCCAAGGACACCAACGUUUCCCAUUCUGAGUACUUCUCCGCAAACCCUUUGUUUCAUUAAGGACUGUUUUACAUGAAGGGUGCAAAAGUAGGAUAAAAAUGAGAACCCUAGGGUGAAACACGUGACAGAAGAAUAAAGACUAUUGAAUAGUCCUCUUCUCUACCCAUGGACUUGGCAUUUUUAUAUUCGAUUUUAAGGAAAUAUAACUUAGUAGUAAAGAGAUGAGCAUUCAAGUCAGGCAGACCUGAAUUUGGGUCAAGGCUGCGCCACUCAAAAGCUAUAUGACCUCUAUAUGAGCAGCUUAUUCAACCUCUUUUAACCUCCAUUUUGUCAUCUGUAGAAUGAUGAUAAAUGCCUAGCUCAGAAGGAUUCCUAAUGAAUAAAUGAGUGACAGUGCAUGUAAACAGACUAGCUUAAUUAAUAUUAAUAUGAUUAGGAUGGGCUGGGCCCGGUGGCUCAUGCCUAUAAUCCUAGCACUUUGGGAGGUCAAGGAGGGAGGAUCACUUGGGCCCAGGAGUUCAAGGCCAGCCUGGGCAACAUAGCGGGACGCUGUCUGUACAAAAAAUAAUUUUUUUAAAUAAACGAUAUUAUGAGGAUGGUC